UUGGCUUUGUGCAAAUAACAUAAUUGUAGGACAUUCAGCAAAAUAUGGCAGCUACACCAUGAUGGACCUCAAAGCCAAUAGGGUCAAAGACAUCCAACUAGUCCAGAGCAAUGAAGUUGGAAACAGCCAAAGAAAGGAGAGGGAGGGAUUUGAAAGAAGCUUGUCUCUUCUUGAGGAAAGAGGUGUUGUGGUCCAGUCUUUGGUGACUGAUCGUCACACAGGGGUACAGAAGUUUAUGAGCAAAAAAAGGACAUUAGACACUUCUUCGACCCUUGGCAUAUGGGAAAAGGGCUGGGUAAAAAAAUGGAUGCCCUUAGUAAGGGUAAGGGACUGCAGGACGUGGGAAUGUGGAGAAAGAGUGUGGUCAAUCACCUUUAUUGGUCUGCGACCACAUCAACAUCUGGGGAGGAGGUAGUGGCCAAGUGGAGCUCUGUAGCAAACCAUAUUCAGAACAUCCACUGCCACGAAAACACCCUGUUUCCUUCUUGUCUCCACGAGCCUCUGGUUGGUGAUCAGACAAGACACUGGCUCAAACCAAGCACAGCAGCAUGUGAAAAGGUCACAGCAAUUUUGUUGUCACCACGUCUUCUUAAAGACAUGCUCAAAAUUAGUCCAGAAUACCACACCUCUGGAAUCGAGUGUUUCCACAGCCUCAUUCUGAAGUUCUCAUCCAAUGUGGUGUUCUCCUUCAAAGGAAAGUUGUGGAGACUACAGCUUGCUGCGAUGCAUUAUAAUGAAAAUGCAGGCAGAUAAAAGGCAUCCACUGCAGCUGGUGAUCUGCAAUACUCAAUCGUUUCCCCAAAAUUCAAGCAUGGAAACUUCACAGUGAGAGCUCUGAAGAGCAAUCCUA